rnacentral:rRNA from 1 species
CCUACGGGAGGCUGCAGUGGGGAAUAUUGCGCAAUGGGCGAAAGCCUGACGCAGCGACGCCGCGUGAGGGAUGAAGGUCUUCGGAUCGUAAACCUCUGUCAGCAGGGAAGAACGGUCACUGUGCUAAUCAGCAGUGAAUUGACGGUACCUGCAAAGGAAGCACCGGCUAACUCCGUGCCAGCAGCCGCGGUAAUACGGAGGGUGCGAGCGUUAAUCGGAAUUACUGGGCGUAAAGCGCUCGUAGGCGGUAUGUCAAGUCAAGGGUGAAAUCCCCGCGCUCAACGUGGGAACUGCCUUUGAAACUGGCAAACUGGAGUGUGUGAGAGGAUAGUGGAAUUCCAGGUGUAGCGGUGAAAUGCUUAGAGAUCAUACAGAACACCGAUUGCGAAGGCAGCUUACCAAGCUACUUCUGACGUUGAGGCACGAAAGCGUGGGGAGCAAACAGGAUUAGAUACCCCAGUAGUC